CGUCGACCCCGCACAAGCUCUACCUAGCGAGCGGUCCUGCUUCAGGUCAACGCACAGGCCUGCCUCCCCUCAACACCGGCCGUGCAGGCUGCACCGACAUCAGCCUGUAUCGGCGGCACCGGGGGCAGCAGGCAACUGUAGCGGAUGGGGAUUCCAAGCUAGCGGAUGGGGAUUCAGAGGAGCAGGUAUGUUUGAGUAUUUUCAAGUUUUGUACUAGUAAAUUAACAUGAACUACAUCAUGCACUUGACGAGAGAAGCUACAGUUAUCUCCCUUUUUGGUUUCUUAGCACGUUUUCAUGGUCUACAUCACGCACUUGCGGAGAGUAUACUACUUCAUAACUGACAGGACUUAGCAAUUAGCUACAUAUCUACUUGGUCCAUUGAAGAAUCUGGUGCGUAGGUACAAGGGGAACACUUGAAUGUCACAUAAAAUGCACCAAUUUGAAGUAGUUUAUUGGUUGCUUUACUUGCUGAAAAGAUUGGUAGACAAUAACAUUUCAUCUUGUAGCUCCAGAUAGAGAGAGGGAGAGGCAGAGGGUGAGAGAGAGAGAUAGAGCAUAUAAGCCUAUAAAAGAAUGGGAAGUUCAUGUCCAUAUAAAGAAUUACAAGUUGCAACAAUAAUUAUGCAGAUAUAUCUGCAAUUGAAGAUGGAAAACAAAUAUUACAGUAUUUAAUCAUCUUCUGGUUGAGCACUACGUUGUUGAUAUUUAGUCCACAACUCUCGGGCGAUGGCAGCACGAACUCUCUCACCAGCAACUCUAUCAUCUUCUCUUGCUUGCCCAUGAACUUGUUGAUCACCAUGGUCAGUAUUUUGUUCUGUUUCCCCAUGCUCAUAAAGCUCAAAUAGCUCAUCAGGAUGAUUAACCUUCCUUAUGAAGUUGUGGAUAAUGCAACAAGCCAUACCAAUUUUCACUUGAGUUCUGUAUGGAUAAGGAAUUCCUCCUUUCCUACUUAGAAUUGGAAAACGAGCUUUUAGAACACCAAAAGUUCGUUCAACAACAUUCCGCAACUGUGCAUGUAGAUGGUUGAACAAGUCCUUCUCACUAGUAUAUCGCCGAUUACUUCCACGAAAAGAAGCAAUAUGAUAGCGAUCUCCACGAUACGGGGCAAUAAAUCUUGGAGUAUUUGCGUAGCCUGAAUCAACAAGGUAAAAUUUACCUGCACAUUAAUUUCAUAUCAAACUCAGCAUCUUUAUAUAUAUUGUAAAUACACAAAUAAUUGUACUUUACCUUCAGGAACAACUAAACCCCCACUAGUCACAGCCCAUCUUAGAACAGCUUGAUCCGAUGCAGAACCCUCCCAUCCAGCAGCGACAUAAGAGAAUGUCAUGUCAAAUGACACUACUGCCAUUACAUUUUGAGACGGAUAACCAUGUCUGUUUCUAUAAGGAGUUUGCUUAUCAAGCCUGACUUUUGCCUCAAUAUGUGUCCCAUCAAUUGCUCCUAGGCAGUUCUGUUGGGAUUUUUUGUUAGUCAAAAAAUAAAGUUUAAAUGGUGUCGACCUUCUAUUUAUGAAAAUCAUAUGUAAAAGAGUAUCUGCUUCUAAUAGCAAACAUACCUUGAAAUAUGGGUAGAAUCUUGCGUCACCCAAUAUUUUUGAUGGGACUUGAUUGCUUGAAUCUGUUAUGCAAACAUCACGCAAAGCAUUUAUGGCGUCUAAAACUUUGUUGAAGUGUCGGCUGAUUGGUUCACCAGAAUGCUGAUAUCUAUCUUGGAUGACACGGUUUCUAACAUUGUGACCAAUUGUAUGUAGAAACAUGAGUAGUUGUUCGUCCACUGUCAUUCAAUUUGUAUCCUUAAGUAACUUCCUCUCGCACAAAGCAUCCCGCAACAAGUAGAAUGUGCGCUUCUCAAGAUGAAAUUGUUCAUAAAAUCUAACUGGAUGUCCCUCUAAAAACUCUAUUGUUUUCUGAGCACCAGUUAAUAUAGAAGUGUUGCGGGGCGUUCUGAAUAACCUUGUGAACAACACAUCGCGAAACAAGGACACUACAGAAAUGUUAUUAAUAAGCACUUGCUCGGAAUCAGAAAGUUCAUCAUCUGGCACAUCCAAAAUGUUCAUAGAUCCCUGCACGAUUUGCACAGUUGACCAUAUCAUCUCUGGAUAAUUGUUUUAAAAUGUAAUAGUGCUGAACCGGACAAUGAACAAUACCAAACUGAAAACAAUAUUUAUUACUUCACACAAACUGACAAAUAUAAGUGAAAUUGUUUUCUGAAUCUUGUAAAGUGCGACAACGACUGGAAUAAAAUACUAUGCUCAAAGGUGUAUUACAAAAAUUCUAAGGAUCAAGAAUCUAAAGCUUCCGCGUCUCUUCAUCCAUCUCAAUGAAAAUGGCCCGUUUAUCACCAUCUGUAAAUGCCUUUACCGCUUUUAGUUUCUCUUUGGGAUCUAGAUUACUCAUACUAUUUAGUAUUGCCAUACAAGAUUUAACCGAGUAAGCUUCAGUUUGUUGUGCUACUGUUUUGUUUGCUUCAGCAAUGCUAAGUGAUGCAUCUGCAAGGCGAUCAAUUGCUAUUAUGGCAUCAUUGGCUGUCCAUUUUUAUCCUCUUUCAGUUUCCUUGGAUCCACUUCCAGGGGACUUCUUUUUUUCUGGCUCAAUGGUAGUUGACUUCUUGGUGAAGACACCAGGGGAAGCAUUGAUUUCAUCAGAAUCGAUGUCAUGUACUUCAACUUCCGUAUUGAGAUCAAUUUGUGAAGAUUUGGUCGUACAUGUACCAUCUUUUCCUUUGCUAGAUACAUCACCAGCUCCAGAUGCUGUUGAACUAGCACAUAUGGCUUGAAGAUCUAUCCAACUAGGCCACACCUUAUCUCGAUAUUCUUGGAUAGCCUUAUCCUUCUGCAAGUUGUUUAAUUUUUUUUUAAUAAUAGGAUAUGGAAACUUUAUAUGAAUUCUACUUGAACAAACUUACCUUAAUUAGUUCUUCCCAAAUAUCUUCUGGAGCUUUUAUCAUUUUGUCAUCGUCAUCCCAACCAAAUCCCGUGAGUUUUAGAAGUCUGUCCAUGGUGCUGUAGCAACUCCUGUAGUACUUAUGACGAUUUUUCAGUUGUUGUAAUUCAAGUUUUUCUACCCUUGAAUCAUUGAGUUGUUCUAAGAUAUCACGCCAUGCUUUCUUUGUGUAACCUGUUCCUUCUUUUCCUCCAUGUAGGCUUUGAUCUUUUAAUAUAUUCAGCAGUAUUUUGUCCUCUGAAGAUUUCCAUACAUGGCGCUUAGCUUUAUCUGUGUUUUCCUUCUUAAUUUUUUCCUUCUCAUCAUCCAUAUUUUUCUACAGAGGGGAUACAAGAAGCAAUAAUGGAAGAUGAGUCAUUUGGUUCAAAAGGAAUAAAUCUACGAAGUGGAAGAAAAUGAGCAUGCCACUAAUCUUUUGUUCAUGCUAUGACUGGACACUUGAAUUUUUGUCGCUUGUCUGUCUAACGGGAUGUUCACAUCCCUUAUCAGUUAUUUUCCUAGGUUGCUGCCAAGAUCUUUAAUUUGCUAUUAAAUCUGGUCUCGCUUGCCCCACGUACUGCUAUCAACAUCAGAUGACAUCACAAGGUAUUCUAAUCUUCACCUGCUUACUGCUUAGCUCUUACUGCACACUAUAUAUUCUGGAUAAAUAUGAUUGAUACUUAUGGAAAAUUAUCCUUACAGUGUGCUUUAAACUGCAUCCUUGUCAUGAAAAAUUAACUACUACACUUGAUAUAUAUAGUCAUCGAUAAUCUAUUUGUGGUUCGGUGUUAGAUCAUUUUAGUAUGUAUAUAGGCAUUCAUAGUGCAAUCUGAUUCUCUUAUGUGCCACAUGUUCAUAUUUACGAUACUCCCUAAUGAGAGUUGCCGCUAAUUUUUCCUUCGACAGUACGUGUUAUCAUUUAGAUUAACAGAUUACCAAGUUGUCGGAUCUACUAUGUCCUAGGAAUUGCCCAUAUGAAAUUAUCAGAGGUUUUAUGCAAAAUAGGGUUCACUACCAAAUAGAUUAAUUCAAUCAACAGUACCAUGAAAAUAUUUACAAAUACAAAUUAGUACUGCUGUGUAGGAUGGUGAAGCCAUGGAACCUGAUUGAAGAUGGGAAGACUGAUUGAAGGUGGGAAGACGAUGCACGGAAAGCUUGAAGGAGAUGUGGAGCCUUAUUGAAGAUGACCAACUUCAGAUCCAAGGUCAACGUCUCCCAUCCAGUGCCUGUCACGGGGAUCACAGCCAGCCCUUUGCGAUCUGGGUGUAUAACAUGCGGGAAACAAAGUCUGUCUUUUAUAGGCAGUGAAAAGGGCGCGAGGUGAGACGCAAAAAGCAGAAUUGGCGCCAUCUGAGGUUGUUGAGGAAUAGGCGGGGGCGGAGAAAGGCAGUUGCAUCUGUAUAUGCUAAUCGCGUUUGUGGAAAAACGAGUAAUACUAGUUUUCCCACAAUCCCGGAAUUAUGGGUUUUUGGGAAACGAGUUUCCCCUAUCCACGGGGUUGUUGGAUGAGCCAAACAAGAUUUUUUACUGUUAGACAGUUUCCUUGGCUUACGUAGAUUGCGUUCUCUAUAUUCCUCUUAUCCAAACAACGCCUUAGAAUCAUCCGGAUCAGUGUCAAAACUUGCAUCGACGUAACCAUUUACGACGAGUUCUUUGUCACCUCCAUAAACGAGAAACAUAUCCUUAGUCCUUUUCAGGUAUUUUAGGAUGUUCUUGACCGUUGUCCAGUGAUCCACUCCUGGAUUAUUUUGGUACCUCCCUGCUAAACUAAUAGCAAGGCACACAUCAGGUCUGGUACACAACAUUGUGUUGGGGAACGUAGUAAUUUCAAAAAAAUUCCUACGAACACGCAAGAUCAUGGUGAUGCAUAGCAACGAGAGGGGAGAGUGUAGUCCACGUACCCUCGUAGACCGAAAGCGGAAGCGUUAACACAACGCGGUUGAUGUAGUCGUACGUCUUCACGAUCCGACCGAUCAAGUACCGAACGCACGGCACCUCCGAGUUCAGCACACGUUCAGCUCGAUGACGUCCCUCGAACUCCGAUCCAGCCGAGUGUUGAGGGAGAGUUUCGUCAGCACGACGGCGUGGUGACAAUGAUGAUGUUCUACCGACGCAGGGCUUCGCCUAAGCACCGCUACGAUAUUAUCGAGGUGUAAUAUGGUGGAGGGGGGCACCGCACACGGCUAAGAGAUCAAUGAUCAAUUGUUGUGUCUAUGGGGUGCCCCCUGCCCCCGUAUAUAAAGGAGCAAGGGGGGAGGCCGCCGGCCUAGGAGGAGGGGCGCGCCAAGGGGGGAGUCCUACUCCCACCGGGAGUAGGACUCCUCCUUUCCUUGUUGGAGUAGGAAAAGGGAAGGGAGAAGGAGAAAGAAGGAAGGGGGCGCCCUCCCUCCCUAGUCCAAUUCGGACUAGUCCAUGGGGAGGGGUGCGGCCACCCUUUGGGGCCUUUCUCUCCUUUCCCGUAUGGCCCAUUAAGGCCCAAUACGAAUUCCCGUAACUCUCUGGUACUCCGAAAAAUACCCGAAUCACUCGGAACCUUUCCGAUGUCCGAAUAUAGUCGUCCAAUAUAUCGAUCUUUACGUCUCGACCAUUUCGAGACUCCUCGUCAAGUCCCUGAUCUCAUCCGGGACUCCAAACUCCUUCGGUACAUCAAAACAUAUAAACUCAUAAUAUAACUGUCAUCGUAACGUUAAGCGUGCGGACCCUUCGGGUUCGAGAACUAUGUAGACAUGACCGAGACACCUCUCCGGUCAAUAACCAAUAGCGGAACCUGGAUGCUCAUAUUGGCUCCCACAUAUUCUACGAAGAUCUUUAUCGGUCAAACCGCAUAACAACAUACGUUGUUCCCUUUGUCAUCGGUAUGUUACUUGCCCGAGAUUCGAUCGUCGGUAUCUCAAUACCUAGUUCAAUCUCGUUACCGGCAAGUCUCUUUACUCGUUCUGUAAUACAUCAUCCCACAACUAACUCAUUAGUUAUAAUGCUUGCAAGGCUUAUAGUGAUGUGCAUUACUGACUGGGCCCAGAGAUACCUCUCCGACAAUCGGAGUGACAAAUCCUAAUCUCGAAAUACGCCAACCCAACAAGUACCUUUUGGAGACACCUGUAGAGCACCUUUAUAAUCACCCAGUUAUGUUGUGACGUUUGGUAGCACACAAAGUGUUCCUCCGGUAAACGGGAGUUGCAUAAUCUCAUAGUCAUAGGAACAUGUAUAAGUCAUGAAGAAAGCAAUAGCAACAUACUAAACGAUCGAGUGCUAAGCUAAUGGAAUGGGUCAAGUCAAUCACAUCAUUCUCCUAAUGAUGUGAUCCCGUUAAUCAAAUGACAACUCAUGUCUAUGACUAGGAAACAUAACCAUCUUUGAUCAACGAGCUAGUCAAGUAGAGGCAUACUAGUGACACUCUGUUUGUCUAUGUAUUCACACAAGUAUUAUGUUUCCGGUUAAUACAAUUCUAGCAUGAAUAAUAAACAUUUAUCAUGAUAUAAGGAAAUAAAUAAUAACUUUAUUAUUGCCUCUAGGGCAUAUUUCCUUCAGUCUCCCACUUGCACUAGAGUCAAUAAUCUAGUUCACAUCGCCAUGUGAUUUAACAUCAAUAAUUCACAUCACCAUGUGAUUAACACCCAUAGUUCACAUGGUCAUGUGACCAACACCCAAAGGGUUUACUAGAGUCAAUAAUCUAGUUCACAUCGCUAUGUGAUUAACACCCAAAGAGUACUAAGGUGUGAUCAUGUUUUGAUUGUGAGAUAAUUUUAGUCAACGGGUCUGUCACAUUCAGAUCCGUAAGUAUUUUGCAAAUUUCUAUGUCUACAAUGCUCUGCACGGAGCUACUCUAGCUAAUUGCUCCCUCUUUCAAUAUGUAUCUAGACCGAGACUUAGAGUCAUCUAGAUUAGUGUCAAAACUUGCAUCGACAUAACCCUUUACGACGAACCUUUUGUCACUUCCAUAUUCAAGAAACAUAUCCUUAUUCCAGUAAGGAUAAUUUUGACCGCUGUCCAGUGAUCUACUCCUAGAUCACUAUUGUACUCCCUUGCCAAAAUCAGUGUAGGGUAUACAAUAGAUGUGGUGCACAGCAUGGCAUACUUUAUAGAACCUAUGGCCGAGGCAUAGGGAAUGACUUUCAUUCUCUUUCUAUCUUCUGCCGUGGUCGGGCUUUGAGUCUUACUCAAUUUCACACCUUGUAAUACAGGUAAGAACUCUUUCUUUGACUGUUCCAUUUUGAACUACUUCAAAAUCUUGUCAAGGUAUGUACUCAUUGAAAAAACGUAUCAAGCGUUUUGAUCUAUCUCUAUAGAUCUUGAUGCUCAAUAUGUAAGCAGCUUCACCGAGGUCUUUCUUUGAAAAACUCCUUUCAAACACUCCUUUAUGCUUUGCAGAAUAAUUCUACAUUAUUUCCGAUCAACAAUAUGUCAUUCACAUAUACUUAUCAGAAAUGUUGUAGUGCUCCCACUCACUUUCUUGUAAAUACAGGCUUCACCGCAAGUCUGUAUAAAACUAUAUCCUUUGAUCAACUUAUCAAAGCGUAUAUUCCAACUCCGAGAUACUUGCACCAGUCCAUAGAUGAAUCGCUGGAGCUUGUAUAUUUUGUUAGCACCUUUAGGAUUGACAAAACCUUCUGAUUGCAUCAUAUACAACUCUUCUUUAAUAAAUCCAUUAAGGAAUGCAGUUUUGUUUAUCCAUUUGCCAGAUUUCAUAAAAUGCGGCAAUUGCUAACAUGAUUCGGACAGACUUAAGCAUAGAUACGAGUGAGAAACUCUCAUCGUAGUCAACACUUUAAACUUGUCGAAAACCUUUUGCGACAAUUCUAGCUUUGUAGAUAGUAACACUACUAUCAGCGUCCGUCUUCCUCUUGAAGAUCCAUUUAAUCUCAAUGGCUCGCCGAUCAUUGGGCAAGUCAAUCAAAGUCCAUACUUUGUUCUCAUACAUGGAUCUCAUCUCAGAUUUCAUGGCCUCAAGCCAUUUUGCGGAAUCUGAGCUCACCAUCGCUUCUUCAUAGUUCGUAGGUUCGUCAUGGUCUAGUAACAUAACCUCCAGAACAGGAUUACCGUACCACUCUGGUGCGGAUCUUACUCUGCUUGACCUACGAGGUUCAGUAAUAACUUGAUCUGAAGUUCCAUGAUCAUCAUCAUUAACUUCCUCACUAAUUGGUAUAGGCAUCACAGAAACUGGUUUCUGCAAUGAACUACUUUCCAAUAAGGGAGCAGGUACAAUUACCUCAUCAAGUUCUACUUUCCUCCCACUCACUUCUUUCGAGAGAAACUCCUCCUCUAGAAAGGAUCCAUACUUAGCAACGAAUGUCUUGCCUUCGGAUCUGUGAUAGAAGGUGUACCCAACUGUCUCCUUUGGGUAUCCUAUGAAGACACAUUUCUCCGAUUUGGGUUUGAGCUUAUCAGGAUGAAACUUUUUCACAUAAGCAUCGCAACCCCAAACUUUAAGAAACGACAACUUUGGUUUCUUGCCAAACCACAGUUCAUAAGAUGUCGUCUCAACGGAUUUAGGUGGUACCCUAUUUAACGUGAAUGUAGCUAUCUCUAAUGCAUAACCCCAAAACGAUAGUGGUAAAUCAGUAAGAGACAUCAUAGAUCGCACCAUAUCUAGUAAAGUACGAUUACGACGUUCGGACACACCAUUACGCUGUGGUGUUCCGGGUGGCAUGAGUUGCGAAACUAUUCCGCAUUGUUUCAAAUGAAGACCAAACUCAUAACUCAAAUAUUCUCCCCCACGAUCAGAUCGUAGAAAUUUUAUUAUCUUGUUACGAUGAUUUUCAACUUCACUCUGAAAUUCUUUGAACUUUUCAAAUGUUUCAGACUUAUGUUUCAUUAAGUAGAUAUACCCAUAUCUGCUCAAAUCAUCUGUGAAGGUGAGAAAAUAACGAUAUCCGCCACGAGCCUCAAUAUUCAUCAGACCACAUACAUCUGUAUGUAUGAUUUCCAACAAAUCUGUUGCUCUCUCCAUAGUUCCGGAGAACGGCGUUUUAGUCAUCUUGCCCAUGAGGCAUGGUUCGCAAGCAUCAAGUGAUUCAUAAUCAAGUGAUUCCGAAAUCCCAUCAGUAUGGAGUUUCUUCAUGCGCUUUACACCAAUAUGACCUAAACGGCAGUGCCACAAAUAAGUUGCACUAUUAUUAACUUUGCAUCUUUUGGCUUCAUUAUUAUGAAUAUGUGUAUCACUACGAUCGAGAUCCAACAAACCAUUUUAUUGGGUGUAUGACCAUAGAAGGUUUUAUUCAUGUAAACAGAACAACAAUUAUUCUCUAAUUUAAAUGAAUAACCGUAUUGCAACAAACAUGAUCAAAUCAUAUUCAUGCUCAACGCAAACACCAAAUAACACUUAUUUAGUUUUAACACUAAUCCCGAAAGUAUAGGGAGUGUGCGAUGAUGAUCGUAUCAAUCUUGGAACUACUUCCAACACACAUCGUCACCUCGCCUUUUACUAGUCUCUGUUUAUUCUGCAACUCCCGUUUCGAGUUACUACUCUUAGCAACUGAACCAGUAUCAAAUACCGAGGGGUUUCUAUAAACACUAGUAAAGUACACAUCAAUAACAUGUAUAUCCAAUAUACCUUUGUUCACUUUGCCAUCCUUCUUAUCCACCAAAUAGUUGGGGUAGUUCCGCUUCCAGUGACCAGUCCCUUUGCAGUAGAAGCACUUAGUCUCAGGCUUAGGAUCAGACUUAGGCUUCUUCACUUGAGCAGCAACUUGCUUGCUGUUCUUCUUGAAGUUCCCCUUCUUCCCUUUGCCCUUUUCUUGAAACUAGUGGUCUCGUCAACCAUCAACACUUGAUGUUUUUCUUGAUUUCUACCUUCGUCGAUUUCAGCAUCACGAAGAGCUCGGGAAUUACUUUCGUCAUCCCUUGCAUACUAUAGUUCAUCACGAAGUUCUACUAACUUGGUGAUGGUGACUAGAGAAUUCUGUCAAUCACUAUUUUAUCUGGAAGAUUAACUCCCACUUGAUUCAAGCGAUUGUAGCACCCAGACAAUCUGAGCACAUGCUCACUGCUUGAGCUAUUCUCCUCCAUCUUUUAGCUAUAGAACUUGUUGGAGACUUCAUAUCUCUCAACUCGGGUAUUUUCUUGAAAUAUUAACUUCAACUCCUGGAACAUCUCAUAUGGUCCAUGACGUUCAAAACGUCUUUGAAGUCCCAAUUCUAAGCCGUUAAGGAUGGUGCACUAAACUAUCAAGUAGUCAUCAUACUGAGCUAGCCAAACGUUCAUAACGUCUGCAUCUGCUCCUGUAAUAGGUCUGUCACCUAGCGGUGCAUCAAGGACAUACUUAUUCUGUGCAGCAAUGAGGAUAAUCCUCAGAUCACGGAUCCAAUCCGCAUCAUUGCUACUAACAUCUUUCAACAUAAUUUUUCUCUAGGAACAUAUCAAAAUAAACAUAGGGAAGCAACAACGCUAGCUAUUGAUCUAGAACAUAAUUUGCAAAAAUACUAUCAGGACUAUGUUCAUGAUAAAUUCAAGUUCAAUUAAUCAUAUUACUUAAGAACUCCCACUUAGAUAGACAUCCCUUUAAUCCUCUAAGUGAUCAAGUGAUCCAUAUCAACUAAACCAUGUCCGAUCAUCACAUGAGAUGGAGUAGUUUCAAUGGUGAACAUCACUAUGUUGAUCAUAUCUACUAUAUGAUUCACGCUUGACCUUUCGGUCUCCGUGUUCCGAGGCCAUAUCUGCAUAUUCUAGGCUCGUCAAGUUUAACCUGAGUAUUCCGCGUGUGCAACUGUUUUGCACCCGUUGUAUUUGAACGUAGAGCCUAUCACACCCGAUCAUCACGUGGUGUCUCAGCACGAAGAACUUUUGCAACGGUGCAUACUCAGGGAGAACACUUAUACUUUGAUAAUUUAGUGAGGGAUCAUCUUAUAAUGCUACCGUCAAUCAAAGCAAGAUAAGAUGCAUAAAAGAUAAACAUCACAUGCAAUCAAUAUAAGUGAUAUGAUAUGGCCAUCAUCAUCUUGUGCUUGUGAUCUCCGUCUCCGAAGCACCAUCAUGAUCACCAUCGUCACCGGCGCGACACUUUGAUCUUCAUCGUAGCAUCGUUGUCGUCUCGCCAAUCUUAUGCUUCUACGACUAUCGCUAUCGCUUAGUGAUAAAGUAAAGCAUUACAGGGCGAUUGCAUUGCAUACAAUAAAGCGACAACCAUAUGGCUCCCGCCAGUUGCCGAUAACUUGGUUACAAAACAUGAUCAUCUCAUACAAUAAAUUUAGCAUCAUGCUUUGACCAUAUCACAUCACAACAUGCCCUGCAAAAACAAGUUAGACGUCCUCUACUUUGUUGUUGCAAGUUUUACGUGGCUGCUACGGGCUUAGCAAGAACCGUUCUUACCUACGCAUCAAAACCACAAUGAUAGUUUGUCAAGUUGGUGCUGUUUUAACCUUCGCAAGGACCGGGCGUAGUCACACUCGGUUCAACUAAAGUGAGAGAGACAGACACCCGCCAGUCACCUUUAAGCAUCGAGUGCUUGCAACGGUGAAACCAGUCUCGCGUAAGCGUACGCAUAAUGUCGGUCCGGGCCGCUUCAUCUCACAAUACCGCUGAACCAAAAUAUGACAUGCUGGUAAGCAGUAUGACUUAUAUCGCCCACAACUCACUUGUGUUCUACUCGUGCAUAUAACACCUACGCAUAAAACCAGGCUCGGAUGCCACUGUUGGGGAACGUAGUAAUUUCAAAAAAUUUCCUACGCACACGCAAGAUCAUGGUGAUGCAUAGCAACGAGAGGGGACAGUGUAGUCCAUGUACCCUCGUAGACCGAAAGCGGAAGCGUUAACACAACGCGGUUGAUGUAGUCGUACGUCUUCACGAUCCGACCGAUCAAGUACCGAACGCACGGCACCUCCGAGUUCAGCACAUGUUCAGCUCGAUGACGUCCCUCGAACUCCGAUCCAGCCGAGUGUUGAGGGAGAGUUUCGUCAGCACGACGGCGUGGUGACAAUGAUGAUGUUCUACCGACGCAGGAUCUAGUAUGUCCUAGGAAUUGCCCAUAUGAAAUUAUCAGAGGUUUUAUGCAAAAUAGGGUUCACUACCAAAUAGAUUAAUUCAAUCAACAGUACCAUGAAAAUAUUUACAAAUACAAAUUAGUACUGCUGUGUAGGAUGGUGAAGCCAUGGAACCUGAUUGAAGAUGGGAAGACUGAUUGAAGGUGGGAAGGCGAUGCACGGAAAGCCUGAAGGAGAUGUGGAGCCUUAUUGAAGAUGACCAACUUCAGAUCCAAGGUCAACGUCUCCCAUCCAAUGCUUGUCACGGGGAUCACAGCCAGCCCUUUGCGAUCUGGGUGUAUAACAUGCGGGAAACAAAGUCUGUCUUUUAUAGGCAGUGAAAAGGGCGUGAGGUGAGACGCAAAAAGCAGAAUUGGCGCCAUCUGAGGUUGUUGAGGAAUAGGCGGGGGCGGAGAAAGGCAGUUGCAUCUGUAUAUGCUAAUCGCGUUU
rnacentral:lncRNA from 1 species